AACCGGUGAUGUAACAUAAGACAACUAUACAAUAUAAUCAUAGAUGGUAACUUGUAUCCUAAAAUAAUCCAUCCAUAUAUUGGGAGUUUGUGCUAAGAUAUCUGAGCUAAUAUUAAACACUUCCUUGCCUUGGUUCUUGCGAGGAAGAAGCUAUUUGUUCUCUAGGUUUUACUGAACCGACUUCAAAUGCAACAGAGCUAUCGUGAAAUUAAGGCAAUCCAUAGCUUGCUAACAUCUAGGCUGAGCAGAACGCCUGAAAUCAACCUCAAAGAACGGCCAAGUAGAUCCUAAAGAGAACGACUUUCAUUUACUGCGAUCACCUGCAGAAUAACUAAUCACAUCAAAAGAAGAUUCUUCUGGGGCAAGAAAUUACAAUUUUUUUGCCCACAGCAAUUGUUGAUCUGCCACCCAGCCGCCCUACACAUGCCAAUCCCCAUCGUUCUUUUGCUCAAAUCAUCGUUGUGGCGAGGAAUGUUGCCAGUAGGUGUAAAUCAAUACCAAUCACAUAUAUAAAUUAUUAUCGGUAAAUGCGUUUAUGUAAUAUAAAACCACAAGCAUUUCUGAUUCCAAACAUGAUUCAAAGUAAAGACACUUGCAAACUAAAUUUGUCUUUUGAUCAAGGCACCCUUAGGACACGGGGAAGG